AACGCGAAGAACCUUACCUGGGCUCGAAAUGCAGGAGACCGGGGUAGAAAUAUCCCUUUCUCGCAAGAGACUGCUGUAUAGGUGCUGCAUGGCUGUCGUCAGCUCGUGUCGUGAGAUGUUGGGUUAAGUCCCGCAACGAGCGCAACCCUCAUCCCUAGUUGCCACCGGGUAAUGCCGAGCACUCUAGUGAAACCGCCCCGGAUAACGGGGAGGAAGGUGGGGAUGACGUCAAGUCCUCAUGGCCUUUAUGUCCAGGGCUACACACGUGCUACAAUGGUCGGUACAAACCGUCGCAAAGCUGCAAAGUGGAGCUAAUCGGAAAAAGCCGGCCUCAGUUCGGAUUGGAGUCUGCAACUCGACUCCAUGAAGCUGGAAUCGCUAGUAAUCGCAGAUCAGAACGCUGCGGUGAAUACGUUCCCGGGCCUUGUA
rnacentral:rRNA from 1 species